rnacentral:rRNA from 1 species
UUCUUGCAUCCAUAAUAAGAAGUAAUUCCUGCCCAGUGAAUAAUUUAACGGCCGCGGUAUCCUAACCGUGCAAAGGUAGCAUAAUCACUUGCCCAUUAAUUGUGGGCUAGUAUGAAAGGACUAACGAAAUAAAGACUGUCUCUAUAAGCCUAAAUAAAAAUUAUCCUCUAACUGAAGAUUGUUAGAUACUGUCGAAGGACAAGAAGACCCUAUAGAGCUUUAUUCUAAACAAAUCUUAAAAAUUUUUUCUUGAAUUCGGUUGGGGCGACCCGGGAAAAUAAUUAAUCAUCCCUUAAAAAAAAGAUAAAUAAAUCUUAAAUUUGACCCUUAAUAAAGAUCACAAAACCAAGCUACCUUAGGGAUAACAGGCUAAUCCUACUAAAGAGUUCUUAUCAAUAGCAGGGUUUGGCACCUCGAUGUUGGCUUAGGGAAUCUAUAGGGCGCAAAAGUCCAAUAAAGAUGGUUUGUUCAACCAGUAACCCCCUACAUGAGCUGAGUUCAGACCGGCGUAAGCCAGGUUAGUUUCUAUCCUCGAUAACCUAAUUUAUUUAUAGUACGAAAGGACCUAAAUAAAAAUAAUACUUAUACUAAAAGAACAGCUAUAAUAUAAAUUAAACUAAUAAAAAUAUAUACUAUA